rnacentral:rRNA from 1 species
UACGGAGGGUGCAAGCGUUAUCCGGAUUCACUGGGUUUAAAGGGUGCGUAGGUGGGAAAGUAAGUCAGUGGUGAAAUCUCCGUGCUUAACACGGAAACUGCCAUUGAUACUAUUUUUCUUGAAUUUUCUGGAGGUAAGCGGAAUAUGUCAUGUAGCGGUGAAAUGCUUGGAUAUGACAUAGAACACCAAUUGCGAAGGCAGCUUACUUCACGAUCAUUGACACUGAGGCACGAAAGCGUGGGGAGCGAACAGG